UAAGGACUAAUAUCUUAUAUUGAUUUAAGCUUGAAUAUCUAACCAAUCUUUAGCACCAUUUUAGAUUUACUGAUUGCAGAUAGCACUAUAGAUGCUAAAGCAGAUCAACCUAUCAACUACACACUUUGCCUUGACCGUAUGAAGUAACCAAAGCUGAUUUCCAACACUAAACCUGACAUAACCGCUUGUCUUGAGCCUUGGUAUACAUGUGAUCGGAUUCUUCAGACAAGUCCGGAAGGUAACGCCUUGUGUAGAUUAUUUAUCACAUUUUCUCCCUCUAAUUUUUGACCCUAGAAUAGUUAGUAAGUUCAAAAAAAAAAAAAAAGAUCUAUUGUUUACUUAGGAUGAGUCUGAACAGGACUUGGUGGCUAAAACCAUUAAGGCUUGAUUCAUAAAAACUCCAAUAAAAGAGUUCGAAACGGGACUUGGAGGCGGCAAUCUCUAAGGCUCGCUUUCGCAAAGAACUCUUGGAUAUAGGUCAAAAAGAAGUGAACAGAGCUUGGUGGCAACCACCAUUAAGUUUUGAUUCAUGGAAGCCUGUCCAAUCUUUGUCACUGAUCCUGCAAUGGAAGCAGACUUUGACUCAAGAGAGAAAAUUAGUGAGAGAGAAACUAGGAACUAACUAUUACCUGCAGCUCUAGAUACUUGUCUGAAAUCCUUGCAUCCUAU
rnacentral:lncRNA from 1 species